rnacentral:tRNA from 2 species
GGCUGUGUAGCUCAGUGGUAGAGCGCCCGGGUUUCUCCCGGGAGGUCGGUGGUUCGAUUCCACCCACAGCCA